rnacentral:rRNA from 1 species
CGGAUUUACUGGGCGUAAAGGGCGCGUAGGCGUAUUGUAAGUCAGCUGUGAAGGGACCGGGGCUCAAACCCCGGAACUGCAGCCGAUACUGCAAGUAUAGAGAUAGUAAGAGGAAAGCGGAAUUCCUAGUGUAGAGGUAAAAUUCACAGAUAUUAGGAGGAACACCAAAGGCGAAGGCAGCUUUCCGGGACAUAUCUGACGUUAAAGCGCGAAAGUGUGGGUAGCAAACAGGAUUAGAUACCCUGGUAGUCCACACCCUAAACGAUGAGUGCUAGGUGUCAGGAAAUUAUUCUUGGUGCCCAAGCUAACGCAUUAAGCACUCCGCCUGGGGAGUACGGUCGCAAGAUUAAAACUUAAAGGAAUUGACGGGGACCCGCACAAGCGGUGGAGCAUGUGGUUUAAUUCGAUGGUACGCGCGGAACCUUACCAGCCUUUGACAUUUAUUUGAAAGAGUAGAGAGAUUUACUCCCUUUGAGCAAUCAAACAGAUAAACAGGUGUUGCAUGGCCGUCGUCAGCUCGUGUCGUGAGAUGUUGGGUUAAGUCCCGCAACGAGCGCAACCCUUUCCCCUAAUUGCCAGCACGUUAAGGUGGGAAUCUUAGGGGUACUGCCGGUGAUAAGCCGGAGGAAGGAAAGGAUGACGUCAGGUCCUCAUGGCCCUUAUAGGCUGGGCUACACAUGUGCUACAAUGGUGAUGACAAAGAGCAGCGAAAGGGCAACCUGGAGCAAAUCUCAAAAAAAUCAUCUCAGUUCGGAUUGUCCUCUGCAACUCGAGGGCAUGAAGCUGGAAUCGCUAGUAAUCGCAGAUCAGAGCGCUGCGGUGAAUACGUUCCCGGGUCUUGUACACACCGCCCGUCAAGCCACGGAAGUUGGUUUUUUCUUAAGCAGGUGCGCUAACCAGCAAUGGAGGCAGCCUGUCACGAAAAGAUCGACAACUGGGGUUAAGUCGUAACAAGGUAACCGUA